rnacentral:lncRNA from 1 species
ACAUGAGUGAAGAGAAUACAUGUGGUCAGGAUAACUCAGUACUCUGGAACUAUCAAAUUUAUUCUUUCUGAUUCAAGAGCUGUCCAUGAAAAUUUUCCUUGAUGAACAUAAUUUCUUUGUUCAACGGAUACUGCUGUGGUCAAAUUGAUUUGAUCAACAUUGUGUUUGAUUCAGAUCUCACUGGGUGCAAUGUCUCAGCCAAGAUAAUUGAUCUGCUGGGUGACUUCUCUGAUUCUCUGCUUCCAAGUGGUUCUACUCAGGUGAAGGUAGAGAAGCAUUCUGGAAUACUUGCACCUGUGUUUGGCAGUCAGUUCAGCACUGAUGACCAGAAUAGCAAGGACCUAGCUUGGUGAUGUAUAAUCGAGGUCUACUGUACAGCUAGCCCACGGGCACAUGGGGAGAUAGACCGGGAUUUGAAGUGAGAGGGUUUGGAUUCAUCAUGCUUUCCAUGACCACACCAACCUCUUCGAUGACCCAAAGCACUCAGAAUUUAAAUGACUUGCCUUGUGUAAUACAACUAGUAAGUACUUGAACCCAUGUCGUUAUGACUUCAAAUCCAUGAUUCUACUCUUCUCAUAAGAAUUCUCUGAUGAACCCUCUGCAAAGA